GUCUCCCGGCUGAGCGCUAUUAGAUGUUGUGCUUGGUGGGUUUUCCUGAUAAACACACCCUUAGUCUUCAUCUAUACCUGACAUAGGAUACAUUGUAACCACUUUGAGCUCAAAGCACCAUUCUCUCUAUUUCCCCUCUCUCUCUCUCUUAAGCAAACAUAAUAAACAAAAGUAGUCACCCUUAAAGAUACAGAAACGCUUAG